rnacentral:rRNA from 1 species
UUCGCUAAAACCCCAUAUGCCCCAGGGUGAAAAAGAGGAAAUUAGUAAUACUGAAUAACCUCUGCCUGAAGAGAAGCUCGCGGCUGAUUAGCUAGUUGGUAGGGUAAUGGCUUACCAAGGCGACGAUCAGUAGCUGGUCUGAGAGGACGAUCAACCACACUGGAACUGAGACACGGCCCAGACUCCUACGGGAGGCAGCAGUGAGGAAUUUUCUGCAAUGGGCGAAAGCCUGACAGAGCAAUACCGCGUGAGGGACGAAGACUUACUGAGUUGUAAACCUCGGUGCCUUAAGGAAGAAGAUCUGACGGUACUUAAGGUGGAAAGCAUCGGCUAACUCCGUGCCAGCAGCCGCGGUAAGACGGGGGAUGCAAGUGUUAUCCGGAAUCACUGGGCGUAAAGCGCGUGCAGGCGGCCAGAUAAGUUGGAUGUGAAAUCUCCCGGCUCAACUGGGAGAGGCCGUUCAAAACUAUCUAGCUCGAGGGCGAUAGAGGGAGGUGGAAUUCCCGGUGUAGUGGUGAAAUGCGUAGAUAUCGGGAGGAACACCAGUGGCGAAAGCGGCCUCCUGGAUCGUACCUGACGCUGAGAUGCGAAAGCUAGGGGAGCAAACGGGAUUAGAAACCCCGGUAGUCCUAGCUGUAAACGAUGUAGACUGGGUGUGGGAGGGGUAAAA